rnacentral:rRNA from 1 species
AAUAUUGGACAAUGCGGUCAACCCUGAUCCAGCCAUGCCGCGUGUGUGAAGAAGGUCUUCGGAUAGUAAAGCACUGUAAGUUGGGAGGAGGGGCUUUAGGCUAAUACGAAUAAGUUUUGACGUUACCACCAGAAUAAGCACCGGCUAACUCUGUGUCAGCAGCCGCGGUAAUACAGAGGGUGCAAGCGUUAAUCGGAAUUACUGGGCGUAAAGCGCGCGUAGGUGGUUCAGUAAGAUGGGUGUGAAAGCCCCGGGCUUAACCUGGGAACUGCUUUCAUAACUGCUGAGCUAGAGUACGGUAGAGGGUAGUGGAAUUUCCUGUGUAGCGGUGAAAUGCGUAGAUAUAGGAAGGAACACCAGUGGCGAAGGCGACUACCUGGACUGAUACUGACACUGAGGUGCGAAAGCGUGGGGAGCAAAC